rnacentral:rRNA from 1 species
UGGGGAAUAUUGGACAAUGGGCGAAAGCCUGAUCCAGCCAUGCCGCGUGAGUGACGAAGGCCUUAGGGUUGUAAAACUCUUUCGUCGGGGACGAUAAUGACGGUACCCGAAGAAGAAGCUCCGGCUAACUUCGUGCCAUCAGCCGCGGUAAUACGAAGGGAGCUAGCGUUGUUCGGAAUCACUGGGCGUAAAGCGCACGUAGGCGGAUAGUUAAGUCAGGGGUGAAAUCCUGGGGCUCAACCCCAGAACUGCCUUUGAUACUGGCUGUCUCGAGGUCGAGAGAGGUUGGUGGAAUUCCUAGUGUAGAGGUGAAAUUCGUAGAUAUUAGGAAGAACACCAGUGGCGAAGGCGGCCAACUGGCUCGAUACUGACGCUGAGGUGCGAAAGCGUGGGGAGCAAACAGGAUUAGAUACCCCCGUAGUCCCUGAGCGGGCUGGCAAGGCGCAU